CCUACGGGUGGCAGCAGUGAGGAAUAUUGGGCAAUGGACGAGAGUCUGAACCAGCCAAGUAGCGUGAAGGAUGACUGCCCUAUGGGUUGUAAACUUCUUUUAUAAGGGAAUAAAACGAGGCACGUGUGCCUUUUUGCAUGUACUUUAUGAAUAAGGAUCGGCUAACUCCGUGCCAGCAGCCGCGGUAAGACGGAGGAUCCGAGCGUUAUCCUGAAUUGUUGGGUUUAAAGGGAGCGUAGAUGGGUUGUUAAGUUAGUUGUGAAAGUUUGCGGCUCAACCGUAAAAUUGCAAUUGAUACUGGCAGUCUUGAGUACAGAUGAGGUAGGCGGAAUUCGUGGUGUAGCGGUGAAAUGCGUAGAGAUCACGAAGAACCCCGAUUGCGAAGGCAGCUUACUAAACUGUGACUGACAUUGAUGCUCGAAAGUGUGGGUAUCAAACAGGAUUAGAUACCCCAGUAGUC
rnacentral:rRNA from 1 species